rnacentral:snRNA from 1 species
GAAUAUGAGGGCAAUCUGGCUGCAACACCUGUCACCCUACUGAUUGCCAGGGUUGAUUUCAGCUGAUCGAGCUGGCGCCCCUCCCAAAGCUGUGCACAUGGUUAAAGAAGACGACCACCCCCAUAGAGGAGGCCCAUUUCCUCAGCCAAGGGUAUACAAGUGGCUGUUGCUCCCUUGCUAGAGCCUCCAAACAAGUCCCCAUCCAGAGUCAUCUGUUACCUUUAGUUAACAUGUCUCUUUCAUCCUCUUUAAUCUAGGAUCAUUAUCUAG